rnacentral:lncRNA from 1 species
CAAGGGUGUGUCAGUUAAAAGGAAGUAAAGUUAAAAGGGAAGUAUUAUUGCCCUCAGGUCGGUGAUGUCCAGCAAAGUCAAGUGCAUCCAGAUGGCCAAUAUAGGAGGUCAUAAAGAUGAGUUAAGGAUGCGUCAACAGUUAAGUGCCUUUAGGGCCGGGUGCACCUUGGAGGAGAUCCUGUCCUGGCAUCAUUGCAUGCAGUCAUCUUCACGCUCUCUCGUCUUGUCUUCUGUCGGAGUCGGAGCUUUUUGUCAUAGUCUCCCGGGGUAAAUUGCUGUCUUGUAACACUUCGGAGAUAGUGAAUCAUAAACUUGUUC